ACCACUUAAAAAAAAUGAGAAAAUAACAGAAAAUUCUGUGAGAAAAGGCAAAGAAUCGGGAAAAAUCUGUCUUCAUUCCUAAAAUUCCGUCAAAAGCAUUCCCCCAAAAUCAAAAUAGCCCCAACCUCAACAAUCCGGUCCCGACUCCCUCAACAAUCCGGUCCCAAGAUCUUAUUCACCCACGUGACUCUCUCCAAGGACAACAAUCCGGCCUGAACGUCCACUCCGACGACAAUCCAACAAGAAAUCCGGCUACCUCACUAAAGCCCGACUUUACAAAGAAUCAAAGAAAUAUAUGUACCUAUCCUGAUGACAAACAAAGGUAAUUUAUUUCUUGGUUGUAAUGUGUAGUUGAUGCAUCCCUAUUUUUUGCUUUGCCAGAUAAUGGAUGGAUUUGUUCUUCUUAUGGUUGCUCUUGCAACUGUUGAAUAUGUUGGAACUUUCUUAAUAGUUUAAACUCGGCUCAUUUAUCCAUUCGAAAUAUGCACUCUUGUCCAUUUAUCCAUUCUUGUCUGCUACUAAUAAUCUGGGACAAUAUUUGUAGUUUGGUGAGACUUCUAUCAUGGUAUUAGAUCAUGGGGGAAAUGGAGGGUCCUGUUACUACAAAUUCAAUUAGUAUGUCAUUAUGGUGUGCUUAAGAAUUGUACUUCCCCCUUUAAUUUUUACUUUCAUUCACUGAACUUCCUUAAAUCACGUACUUCGAUUUAUGGAGCAGCACUCUACUUUUGUAAUUGUCGUGUAAGGAGCAAUAAAUGUUUCUUUGAAUGCUUAUGAGAAUAAAUAAUGAGGAGAACUGAUUUCUCUGAAUAUCAUUUGUUUAGGGGGAUGGUGAAUAUCGUGACGUUUCACAGCAUACUCCACAUUCUACUUUCAUAUAUCCAUCACCAACGAAUUUCAUUCUCAAUUCUCAACAUGAAGUCAUGCCGGCACAUAGUAUAUCCCACAUUCCAUUCACACAGCAGAUGUCGUAUUACUACCAACAUUUACCUGAUGAAGUGGCACGGGAUAGUGAUUGUUGACAGAUGACUAUGUCCAAUUCAGCCAACUUGCUUCAUUUAUAAUUAUUGUUGGAAGCAAUUUUUUUUUGUUUGCCUAAAUGCAGAAAUGGAUGCAAGUUGUAUAAUCUUUGUACUCACCUUUUUUUGGGGAUAUGUUAAUGCCAUUAACUGUGAGUUCCAUCAGUUGUAUAAGAGUUGCCA
rnacentral:lncRNA from 1 species